AACAAGGCGUACCUGCGGACCUGCGGAAGGAUCAUUACAAGUGACCCCGGUCUAACCACCGGGAUGUUCAUAACCCUUUGUUGUCCGACUCUGUUGCCUCCGGGGCGACCCUGCCUUCGGGCGGGGGCUCCGGGUGGACACUUUAAACUCUUGCGUAACUUUGCAGUCUGAGUAAACUUAAUUAAUAAAUUAAAACUUUUAACAACGGAUCU
rnacentral:misc_RNA from 1 species